rnacentral:rRNA from 1 species
UACAGAGGUCCCAAGCGUUGUUCGGAUUCACUGGGCGUAAAGCGUGCGCAGGCGGUUUUGUAAGACAGGUGUGAAAUCCCCGGGCUUAACCUGGGAACUGCGCUUGUGACUGCAAGACUCGAGUACGGCAGAGGGGGGUAGAAUUCCACGUGUAGCAGUGAAAUGCGUAGAGAUGUGGAGGAAUACCGAUGGCGAAGGCAGCCCCCUGGGUCGAUACUGACGCUCAUGCACGAAAGCGUGGGGAGCAAACAGG